GACGAACGCUGGCGGCGUGCCUAAUACAUGCAAGUCGAACGCAGUGGGGACGGGGUAGGAACACAUGGGUAAUCUCCCAUCAGAGGGGAUAACACUUGGAAACAGGUGCUAAACCGAUACUGAUGGAUGGACUCGCGGUGCAUUAGCUAGUUUGUGCGGUAACUGCUCACCAAGGCCACGCUGCAUACGCGAGCUGAGGGGGCGGUCGGCCACACUGGGACUUGUACACGGCCCAGACUCCGACGGGAGGCAGCAGUAGGGAAUCUUAGGCAAGGGACGAAAGUCUGACCGAGCAACGCCGAGUGAGUGAAGAAGGUCUUCGGAGCGGAAAACUCGGUUGUUAGAGAAGCGUUAUCUACCCAGAAAGCCACGGCUAACUACGUGCCAGCAGCCGCGGUAAUAC
rnacentral:rRNA from 1 species